rnacentral:lncRNA from 1 species
UUCAUGAGAGACACAGAGAGAGAGAGAGGCAGAGACAUAGGCAGAGGGAGAAGCAGGCAGGGAGCCCGAGGUGGGUGGGACUCGAUCCCUCCACUUCAGGAUCAUGCCCUGGGCCAAAGGCAGACGCUCAACCCCUGAGCCACCCAGGCAUCCUUUUUAAUCUAAAUUAAAUGGAGAGCCUUUGGGUGGUUUCUGAGUAGGGAAGAAGCAUGCAGUGUAUCUUAAAUUGUCUUUUGACAGGAUCCCUCUGUCUGCAGGACUGAUCAUAGAUAAUAGGAAGCUAAGCAGAAGUAGGGAGAUCAGUUAGAAGACAACUGUAAUAAUUCAGACAAGAGAUGAUGAUGGCUUGAACGAGGGUGGAAGCAAUGGAGAGGUGAUAAGAGCUUGGAUUGUGGACAUAUUUUAAACAUACAUCCAACAAGAUUUACUGAUGAAUUAGACAUGGAGUAGGGAGGAACUAGAGAAGCCAAGGAUGAUCUCAAAGAGUUUUGACUCACACAACUGGGAGCAUGGAGUUGGCAUUCUCCAGGUGAACUGAGAAGAUCAGGAUUGGGAGAGAAGAGUAGAAGGUCAUGUUAAGUUUGGAAUGGUUAUAAAACUUCCAAGUGUAGCUAUUUAAUAGGAAGCGAAACAUGUAAUUGCAUGUAUAUGUGUGCGUACACAUAUACAUGCACACGCUUUUGGCUACAUAGGAAAUUUUUGGAAAUACAUACUAAAAGCCAUUAACAGUGGUUACCUCUGAGUGAUGGGAAUCUCAAAAAUGGCAUUGGGAUAUAAAAGGAGAGACUACUACACGUCUUUUGUUUUUAAAUUUAAUACCCUUUUGUGCCAUGUAUUACAUAUAUGUAUGUAUGUACUACUAUGUGUAUUACUUUUAUAACUAGAAAAUUACAUAAAAUUUGUGUGGUUGGUGUAAUGAAUCAAGUCAUCACAAAUACAUCUUAUCAGAAAAGCCCAUUUUGGACCAGGGUCUUGGCAAUGUCCUUUCAAGCUCUAACAGAUUUCUAUGACUGGGAAUUAACUGCUAAUUCUUAAGUUCACUUCCUCCUAAGGGCUCUGUGAAAUUUGUAGUGUGUAAACAGCCUCUCUAACUCACUUGCCUCGUCUUGAAAACAGCACCAAGAGCUCUCAGCACUUACCUACCUCACAGGAAAUUUGAGGUUGGAUGAGAUAAGGUGUUCAAAUACUUCGAGUUACCACAAAGACAGGUGCUCAUGUAGGCAGGAUAUCAUGAGUCCUGGAAUAUUAAGACAUAGUAAAAAGAAGCUGUUUCUGCCUUUUGAUCAUACAGGCAUUUUGAUACUCUUGAACUAUUACUCUUCAUUCAGGCUGCCAUAAAAUGAGUGUUUCUCCCCAAACAGUAUUCAUUUUAGCAUUUUUGUUCAUGCCUUCUGUCAAACAUGAUUUCCACAGCCUUUGAUUCUUAUCAAGAUCUAUUUGACUUUAUUCUUCAAAGGAUUUAAUUCAAAGUUCACUAUCAGUGGGUGGAUUAGUUGAGUAACUGAAAUAUCCGUGUUGAAUGCCAUAAGAGUUUGUUAAAUUAUUUCUCUUCACAGGAGAUACACUUAACCAAAGUCAUGUACUAAUGAACAAUGAAGUGACAGUCUAAAUAGCAGACAUCAUUAAAAGAAGUUACUGGUACACGGUGAAUGAAAAAUAAUAAACAGUGACAGCUCUAACAAACGUUCAUUUGAUGCCUCUUAAGUAUUCUUCUAAGGCUAUUAUCAUGUGUCAGGUACUGUAUUAGGUGCUGUGAAUACAAGAAGGAAGCACAUGUCUUUUCCCUCAUGAAGCUUAUAUUCUUCCAGAGAAAUGCCACAUUCUGUUUUUUAAGUUUGGCAUCCGUGUUUUAAUGAAGUAUUUGAGAUGCGGUGUGAAGAGGAAUUGGGAGGUUGCUGGCUGUAUCUAUUCCUGGAAAUUAUGCAGUUGAUUACUAUUAUUUUGAAAAAAUCACCUUUAGUCCCACAAAUGUAAGAAGAAACCCAGAAAAUCACCACCAAGCAGAAUCACAAAGUACAGUCAGUGGAAAAAGUUGCAAGUCUCACGAAAGAUGUGCCGUCUUUAUAUGUAAGAUCUUUCUUAGAACUAGAACUUAUAAGAAGUCAAGCUGAAUGUUCCAAAAACAAUGUUAAGAUUAAAAAAAAAAAAACAAGCAAAACCUAUGUCAAAUACAGGCUAGAUAUUCACAGACAUUGUGGACUGUUGGGAGUGGCUUCUGCCUCUGGAGCGUGGUUAAAGUAGAUCGCCUUUGAGAUUCCUUCCUAGCCUGAAGGAACCUAAGUGAGUACAAUUGUGAAGUUAUAUUUUCUCUAAAGAAAGAUUUCUCAACAACCAAAUACACCCAAGAUGCUAACAUUCUAUUUAUAUUUUUAUAAUUAUUUAACAGUGAUCUCAAACCAGAGAUGGAGCUAAAGAAAACUAACAGGCCUUGUUAAUUACUGAGGUGAGUUAAAUAAAAGUAUAGCUUUUACCAGAUAUUCUUUUGCCUUGAGUUCAUUAGAAAUCUUACCAUUCAUGAGCCAAAUGUCUGUCAAAUUUAAUUGGUAAACCACUAAUGGUCAACGGUCAGUCCAGGGUCCCCCACCACCACCAGCAUCCCCAACUCCCCGGAUAUCUUGCUAAUGUCUUUCCCUUUGCUUGUGCCUCCCUGCUUUAAUUAAUUUUCCACCCACAUUUCUGAUUUCAGUGCCAACUUCAGAUGACUCUUGCUUCAUCUUGUAAUUUAGCUUGCCAUUCCUCGCUUCUACAAUUAUUCUUAAAAAAGACCUCCAUAGCAAAAAUAAAAACUCACAUUUUUGAUUGGCAGCCUCUCUAAAUUGACUGGCACUUAGGUGCGUGUCAUAAGCUAAUAAGCAUUUAAUUGCAACAGUUCAUCUGGCUCUGAUUCAAAAAAUGAUCCUGGCAAAGCCACUGGUGGUGAGACAUCAAAGGAGGAGUUCCUUUAGGAACAGCCCAGGUUAACCGAACAUCAGAAUUCAUGUUAAUGCAGUUACACAUAACCACUGGCUCCUCACCUUGCAGCCAGCCCAAGCUGGGUUGUCUUGUAAGUAGUAUAUCAGAUGUUUUCUUGUGCUUUGAAUAACAUCAGGGAUUGGGACAAUAAUAAUAGCCUUAGCAGCUAACAUUUAUCGGACACAUACUAUUUCCUUGGAACUUUGCAGAUAGCUUUAUAUGUAGUUCCUCACUGAAUCCUUGCAAUGACCCUCUGAAGAAGGUCUCAUUAUUACUCUUUGACGAGGUCUGGAGUUUAGCAGACUUCUGCUGACAGGCCUAAGGCAGCCCUUGGAAGUGUGCUUUUCACCAGGGCACUGGCAGAGACUGAGAUGGGACUCACUGUGGGAGGGAGCUGGGCCAUCACACCUUCGUAUCUCUUCUCCUCCCCUGCCUCCCCUUCCAGGCAAGCUCAUUCUCACCUCUUCUUGACACAUAGGUGUGUAUUUUGUCCUUGUUUUGUGUUUC